GGUUGGGGCAGGGCUCCCGUGUCCGCGCGCCUGGCCUGUAAGAUUGGAACCCGAGGACGUCACUGCGGAGCAGAGUGAUUCCCAUUGGCUGGUUCAGGUCGGGUUCGAUUGUGGACGUAACAUUGCGGAAGUUGAACAAUGAGCUUCAGGCUAAAACUUCUGUGCAACAUCUGUGAGGAAAUCAAUGUAUUUAUUUAUUGUAUGUCUAUUUAUUUUCUAAUUCUGGUCUUAAAUUGUUGACUUGCAGGAACUAAAAGGAAAAGAGUUAGUCCAGGGAGGGUGCAGUCUAGAAAGGUUGGCGCAAUCUCUACUCUCAAAGACAUUGACAUCCUUUGCUCUCUCAGCUUGCCACAUUUAUUUGUCUGGCUAAAAGAAUGGUCUCUUUCCUGAUGUACAGAAUUAAAGGGAUGAUUUCCUCAGAAGGCUGACAUUUAAGAGGACAUAGUAAGGAUAUUUGAAGGGGUGGAAUAACGGAUAGGAAACUCAAAUGAAGCAUCAUGUUAAGAUCUGAUACAGCAACUUGAUUCACCAACAUCUGAACAUCAUCAGUCUUUGAUUCCAUAAGAGAAAGGAUCGUGUUCACAGUUCAGAAGAUGUUCCUGUGAGUAAAAAAAAACCCUCACCUAUUCGUGACCAAGUUAAGCAACAAACUGAUACAAAUAAAGAUAUUGAUGUGUCCACCCUAGUCAUGGACAGUGCAGAGUCAGGAAAAGUGCCUGAAACAACUCAAGAUAAAAGCCCACUUCAGAAGGAACUAAGAUCUCAAAGAAACCCUAAAGGAUUAAUGACACCGAACACUGAAUAAUAUGUAGCUGCCUGUGCUGAGACAGAACAAGAUAUAACAGCAGCAGGAGUUCAGACAAAGGGACAGUUCACAGAAAAAACACUUCAAACUCCAAAAUGAUUGGUUUGAAAUAGUUUUUGAGUGAUGUAGAAGACUCAAAAUGUUUGAAAUAAUAAUUGAAAGUCCAGAAUGAAGAAGCUGUCAACAUCACUGGAAAAAAAUUAAAUUAAGCUCGAUCUGAAUGAGAUUAGGUGAACCGAAAGGAUAAUAAACUGUUCAAAGACCAGACCAUACAGGAGUAACAAACAUUUUUGCUUGAACAUUAAAAGCAUUUUGUGAUGAGAGAUGUAUAUUUUUGUGAUGUUUUCUGUGUAGAAAGCUGUGGGUGUGUGUCCAGGGUUAAUUAAGCAAGGGGGAGAUUACUAGAGACAGGUUGUCUGUGAGGUCUAAGAGAUGAAAGGUUAAAGGUGUUCAGUUUGUGCGUUUGGUGCAGAGGUUAUGGUGGGUUUGAGUUACAAGUAAAUAGGUUAGUUCUGAAAUUUGCAUUAUGAUAUAAGUGGGAAAUGGGUUUUUCAGCCGUUGAAUUUCAAAAAGGGAGUUCAGAAGUAACAGGGAACAUUUGUAUCUUACAGGGAUUCCAUGAGUAAAUAGGGGAAGGCAUAUUAAAUUUUAUUGUAGAGGCAAAACAGAAAACAUGAAAUGUUUUUACAUUUGGAGAAGUUGAGUUUCAAAGAGGUGUUUCAGGACAAUGGAACUUGAGAUGAAAGGUGUAAAAGAUAUUUAAGGAAAGGGAUGUUUAACUAUUGAGGAUUGCUGUGGGGCAACCCACUGAGGUUCAGCUUAUCUGUGUGUGAGCGGCUGAGAAACUGUAAAAGUUUAGAAUUGGAGGCAGCCACCAAGUGUUAAGCCAGGAGUCUUUGUUUUAGGAAACAGUUUGUUUCUGAACCUUCUUUUGGAAUUCCAUAUCAGAGUGGAAGUACCUGAGAAGUCGUGAGGUACACCUUUAUUAAAGUGACAAUAAUUCCUUGACUUGGGUAAUGUUUACUGGAUUUUUAUGGUUAAAAUCUAUAACGGGUUGUUGCCAAAAAGGUAGUGCAGUUGUGUACUUUUGACCAAGCAUAUUUUUGAGGGUUAUUCUGUAAGGCUGUUCUAACUUUUAUCUUGUGUGCUUAAGUUUUCCUUUUUAAUAAAUCCUUUAACUUUAAAAAUUCUAAAAUUAUGACUGGAGUUCUGUGUUUAUGAUCAGCAAGACGGACUUCACUCAGGAGUCUGACUUGCUCAGCAAUAACAUCAACUGUGGUCGUAACAUUUUGAGUGACAUUCUUAAAAUACCGAAAGAAGAUUUUUACCAGUGAAUUUACACAGUAGAUUAGCUUGGAAGCAUUGGAAAAAUAACAAGGGACUGAGCAGCCACAGUCAAGAAAUGAUAAAUGAAAGUUUAACCUCUGAGAAUAGCUGGAACUGAGGAGAAUUCUCCACAGCACUGUGACAUACUUGGUGUGCCUGAUGAGAGAAUCAUGGGGAAACUAAGAUGUAAACCUGAGGACACAACAUAUGUGGUUAUAAACCAUAUUAAGUUAUUAGUACUUGCUUUGUUUAAUUAUUUUAUAUACAAUAAAGUUUGUUUUGGUAAAAAAAAAGUGAAA